GCCGGGUGUUGUGGCGGGUGCCUGUGGUUCCAGCUACUUGGGAGGCGGAGGCAGGAGACUCUCUUGAGCCCAGGAGUUGGAGGUUGCUGUGAGCUGUAAUGCCACGGCACUCUGCCCAGGGGGACAGCUUGAGGCUCUGUCUCAAAAAAAAAGAGAAAGAGUCUCACUCUGUCACCCUGGGUAGAGUGCUGUAGUGUCCUAGCUCACAGCAACCUUAAAUUUCUGGGCUCAAGUGAUCCUCUAC
rnacentral:sRNA from 1 species